AGUGAACGCUGGCGGUAGGCCUAACACAUGCAAGUCGAACGGCAGCACAGUAAGAGCUUGCUCUUACGGGUGGCGAGUGGCGGACGGGUGAGGAAUACAUCGGAAUCUACUUUUUCGUGGGGGAUAACGUAGGGAAACUUACGCUAAUACCGCAUACGACCUACGGGUGAAAGCAGGGGAUCUUCGGACCUUGCGCGAUUGAAUGAGCCGAUGUCGGAUUAGCUAGUUGGCGGGGUAAAGGCCCACCAAGGCGACGAUCCGUAGCUGGUCUGAGAGGAUGAGCAGCCCAACUGGGACUGAGACACGGUCCAGACUCCUACGGGAGGCAGCAGUGGGGAAUAUUGGACAAUGGGCGCAAGCCUGAUCCAGCCAUACCGCGUGGGUGAAGAAGGCCUUCGGGUUGUAAAGCCCUUUUGUUGGGAAAGAAAAGCAGCAGGUUAAUACCCCGCUGUUCUGACGGUACCCAAAGAAUAAGCACCGGCUAACUUCGUGC
rnacentral:rRNA from 1 species